AUUGAACGCUGGCGGCAGGCUUAACACAUGCAAGUCGAGCGGGGUGAUGUGCUUCGGUACUGAUCCUAGCGGCGGACGGGUGAGUAAUGCUUAGGAAUCUGCCAUUUAGUGGGGGACAACAUUCCGAAAGGAAUGCUAAUACCGCAUACGUCCUACGGGAGAAAGCAGGGGAUCUUCGGAUCUUGCGCUAAAUGAUGAGCCUAAGUCGGAUUGGGUAGUUGGUGGGGUAAAGGCCUACCAAGGAGACGAUCUGUAGCGGGUCUGAGAGGAUGAUCCGCCACACUGGGACUGAGACACGGCCCAGACUCCUACGGGAGGCAGCAGUGGGGAAUAUUGGACAAUGGGCGGAAGCCUGAUCCAGCCAUGCCGCGUGUGUGAAGAAGGCCUUUUGGUUGUAAAGCACUUUAAGCGAGGAGGAGGCUACCUAGAUUAAUACUCUGGGAUAGUGGACGUUACUCGCAGAAUAAGCACCGGCUAACUCUGUGCCAGCCGCCGCAGUAAGAC
rnacentral:rRNA from 1 species